rnacentral:rRNA from 1 species
AGGGGGGGGGGAUGUGGGAGACCAUGGCCCCUCCGCCCCCCCCACAAAGGCACAACGAACCCCGGCGCGAACUGCGCCAAGGAACCAAACAAAGAUGUGCGCCCCCUCCGCCUGGAAACAGAGUCGAAGGGGGUCGCGUCGUCGUCCAUAUUACAUAUGAAACGACUCUCGGCAACGGAUAUCUCGGCUCUCGCAUCGAUGAAGAACGUAGCGAAAUGCGAUACUUGGUGUGAAUUGCAGAAUCCCGUGAACCAUCGAGUUUUUGAACGCAAGUUGCGCCCGAAGCCGUCAGGCCGAGGGCACGCCUGCCUGGGUGUCACGCAACGUCGCCAACAAUCCCCUCACCCACCCUGCGAAGGGAAUGGCGGGGGGUGGCGGAUAUUGGCCUCCCGUGCGCACCCGCUCGCGGUUGGCCCAAAGAACAGCCCCUUGGCGAUGGCAGCCACGGCACGCGGUGGUUGGAAGCACUGGCUCCGUGAACCGCCGUGGGCGAGCCUCGUUGACGUGGAGCAAAAGACCCCGACGCAAGCGUCCCAACAAAGCGACCCCA